GAUGAACGCUGGCGGCGUGCCUAAUACAUGCAAGUCGAGCGAACGGACGAGAAGCUUGCUUUUCUGAUGUUAGCGGCGGACGGGUGAGUAACACGUGGAUAACCUACCUAUAAGACUGGGAUAACUUCGGGAAACCGGAGCUAAUACCGGAUAAUAUUUUGAACCGCAUGGUUCAAAAGUGAAAGACGGUCUUGCUGUCACUUAUAGAUGGAUCCGCGCUGCAUUAGCUAGUUGGUAAGGUAACGGCUUACCAAGGCAACGAUGCAUAGCCGACCUGAGAUGGUGAUCGGCCACACUGGAACUGAGACACGGUCCAGACUCCUACGGGAGGCAGCAGUAGGGAAUCUUCCGCAAUGGGCGAAAGCCUGACGGAGCAACGCCGCGUGAGUGAUGAAGGUCUUCGGAUCGUAAAACUCUGUUAUUAGGGAAGGACAUAUGUGUAAGUAACUGUGCACAUCUUGACGGUACCUAAUCAGAAAGCCACGGCUAACUACGUG
rnacentral:rRNA from 1 species